rnacentral:rRNA from 1 species
ACGGCUCAGUAACACGUGGAUAACCUGCCCUUGGGUCCGGCAUAACCCCGGGAAACUGGGGAUAAUUCCGGAUAACGCACAUAUGCUGGAAUGCUUUAUGCGUCAAAUGGAUUCGUCUGCCCAAGGAUGGGUCUGCGGCCUAUCAGGUAGUAGUGGGUGUAAUGUACCUACUAGCCUACGACGGGUACGGGUUGUGAGAGCAAGAGCCCGGAGAUGGAUUCUGAGACAUGAAUCCAGGCCCUACGGGGCGCAGCAGGCGCGAAAACUUUACAAUGCGGGAAACCGUGAUAAGGGGACACCGAGUGCCAGCAUCAUAUGCUGGCUGUCCGGGUGUGUAAACUACACCUGUUAGCAAGGGCCGGGCAAGACCGGUGCCAGCCGCCGCGGUAACACCGGCGGCCCGAGUGGUGAUCGUGAUUAUUGGGUCUAAAGGGUCCGUAGCCGGUUUGGUCAGUCCUCCGGGAAAUCUGACAGCUCAACUGUUAGGCUUUCGGAGGAUACUGCCAGACUUGGAACCGGGAGAGGUAAGAGGUACUACAGGGGUAGGAGUGAAAUCUUGUAAUCCCUGUGGGACCACCUGUGGCGAAGGCGUCUUACCAGAACGGGUUCGACGGUGAGGGGCGAAAGCUGGGGGCACGAACCGGAUUAGAUACCCGGGUAGUCCCAGCCGUAAACGAUGCUCGCUAGGUGUCAGGCAUGGCGCGACCGUGUCUGGUGCCGCAGGGAAGCCGUGAAGCGAGCCACCUGGGAAGUACGGCCGCAAGGCUGAAACUUAAAGGAAUUGGCGGGGAGCAC